CUAGACAAGUGGGCCUUGAUCCCACAACAAUUUA
rnacentral:tRNA from 1 species